GGCCAGACUCCUACGGGAGGCAGCAGUGGGGGAUAUUGCACAAUGGGGGGAACCCUGAUGCAGCGACGCCGCGUGGGUGAAGAAGUAUUUCGGUAUGUAAAGCCCUAUCGGCAGGGAAGAAAUUGGACGGUACCUGACUAAGAAGCCCUGACUAACUACGUGCCAGCAGCCGCGGUAAUACGUAGGGGGCAAGCGUUAUCCGGAUUCACUGGGUGUAAAGGGAGCGUAGACGGCCAUGCAAGCCUGGAGUGAAAGCCCGGGGCCCAACCCCGGGACUGCUCUGGGAACUGUGCGGCUGGAGUGCGGGAGGGGCAGGCGGAAUUCCUGGUGUAGCGGUGAAAUGCGUAGAUAUCAGGAGGAACACCGGCGGCGAAGGCGGCCUGCUGGACCGCGACUGACGUUGAGGCUCGAAAGCGUGGGGAGCAAACAGGAUUAGAUACCCGGGUA
rnacentral:rRNA from 1 species